rnacentral:rRNA from 1 species
GACGAACGCUGGCGGCGUGCUUAACACAUGCAAGUCGAACGGAAAGGCCCUGCUUUUGUGGGGUGCUCGAGUGGCGAACGGGUGAGUAACACGUGAGUAACCUGCCCUUGACUUUGGGAUAACUUCAGGAAACUGGGGCUAAUACCGGAUAGGAGCUCCUGCUGCAUGGUGGGGGUUGGAAAGUUUCGGCGGUUGGGGAUGGACUCGCGGCUUAUCAGCUUGUUGGUGGGGUAGUGGCUUACCAAGGCUUUGGCCGGUAGCCGGCCUGAGGGGGUGACCGGACACAUUGGUACUGAGAUACGGACCAGACUCCUACGGGAGGCAGCAGUGGGGAAUAUUGCACAAUGGGCGGAAGCCUGAUGCAGCAACGCCGCUUGCGGGAUGACGGCCUUCGAGGUGUAAACCGCUUUCGCCUGUGACGAAGCGUGAGUGACGGUAAUGGGUAAAGAAGCACCGGCUAACUACGUG